UGAUCAACUGUCAAAAGUGAAACAACUCCCCCCUGGGCAUCCAAAAUGCAGCGAGAAUCCCCAACUGAAGCGACGGUUAUUGUCCACCCAUCAAUAAUUACAAAGGUCACGGUUGUUCCAGAAGUUUGUCCUUUGCUCUGGAAUUCCUUGUCUGUUUUCACAAACCCGGCAACUAAAGCACGGGGUAAUGCAUGGAGCCACUCUUCGCGGCUAAGUCCACGGGGCAUCGCACCCAUCACAUGAGUCAGCAAGUUCUCUCUUGUAAAGAUAGCAGCAGCAUUCCCAUUGUGCCCAUCAAAGACCGCGAAGAUGGAGAAGGCGGAGGGACUGCCUGUGACACGCUGACAGUCGGUCUUG
rnacentral:misc_RNA from 1 species